CUUCUCAUCUCCUAUUGGUAAAGGGUCUGGAGUGUCCCUUGUCCCUCUCUCUGCAGGUGCGUUUUUACCCUGCGCUAGCCAAUUCGAGAGCCCCUUGUCUGACUGGCCAGAAACUCUAAGCUAUCAUAUGCAAACUAUUAGUCUGUUCUAGAAGGAUCACAGGGAACCAGCACUGAAGAAAUGAAAUUCAGCUAAUCCCUCCAAGAAACUGAAGUUUCAGGACAUUUGAAAGGCAGACACAGGCUGACUCCUGCCCACAGACCACCGAAAGCUAAAGUGUACCUGAAAGCCAU
rnacentral:lncRNA from 1 species